ACGGCGGAAUCUUUAGUUGGUUUCUAGGACGCCGUAUGAUUAAUAGGGAUAGUCGGGGGCGUCAGUAUUCAGUCUGUCAGAGGUGAAAUUCUUGGAUUUGCUGAAGACUAACUACUGCGAAAGCAUUCGCCAAGGAUGUUUUCAUUAAUCAGGAAACAAAAGUUAGGGGAUCAAAAACAAUCAAAUACCGUCUUAUUCUUAACCAUAAACUAUGCCAACAAGGGAUCGAACAGGAUUCUAUGAUGACCCGUUCGGCACCUUACAAAAAAUCAAAGUUUUUGGGUUCUGGGGGGAGUAUGGUCGCAAGGCUGAAACUUAAAGAAAUUGACGGAAGGGCACCACAAGGGUGGAAGCCUGCGGCUUAAUUUGACUCACACACGGGAAAAACUCACCAGGUCCAGACAAAAUAAGGAUUGACAAAUUGAGAGCUCUUUCUUGAUCUUUUGGAUGUUGUUGCAUGGCCGUUCUUAGUUGUUGAGAGUGAUUUGUCUGCUUAAUUGCAUAUAACGAACGAGACCUCAGCCCUUAAAUAGCCCGGUCUGCAUUUGCAGGCCGCUGGCUUCUUAGAGGGGACUAUCGGCUCAAGCCGAUGGAAGUGCGCGGCAAUAACAGGGUCUGUGAUGCCCUUAGAUGUUCUGGGCCGCACGCGCGCUACACUGACAGGGCCAGCGAGUACUCCCACUGUGCGCGAGAGGCGCGGAAUAAUCUGUGUACCACCCCUGCUCGUGCUGGAGUAGCGCUC
rnacentral:rRNA from 1 species